AAAUUAUUUUUGAAGUUUACUAAAUUCAUCUAAUAUUGCUUAUGGCAGUACUCUAAUGCCGCCAGCAUGUAUUAGCACCAUGUAAUAAAAUGUCAUAUCAGAUGCAAUCAACUGGUAACAAUGAUAGACGUUUGCAGGUACAAUUCUGGCGUCCCUUUACUGGAGCUAUACUGCUCUUCAAAUACCGGCAGGAUUGCUUUGCGCAAAGUAUGGCAGUUCAUUUCUACUUGGUAUUGCAAUUUUUGGCUCCUCGGUUCUUACGCUUUUCACACCACUGAUCGUUAGGGCGAACGUCAGUGCCUUCAUAGUACUACGGGUACUGGAAGGUGCAUUCUUGGGUUUGGUGGCGAGUUCAAGCAUUGAUUUAAUAAGCAAAUGGUCACCUAUUUACGAAAGGAGUAUUUUCGUCACCUUUUCAUAUGCAGGUCUUCUGUGGGGAACAGUUUUUGCGAACUCAAUAAGUGGUCUUCUGGCCGGUAGUUCAUACGGAUGGCCGUCCGUUUUUUACUUCUUUGGAGCACAAGGAGUACUCUGGUAUUUAUGUUGGCUGUAUCUGGGGGUGGAACAACCAGCCGAUCAUCCUACUAUAUCUCGAUCUGAGAUACAAAAGAUUGGAAAACACUGGACAACUAAAGUAAAUAUCUUAAAAUGACUGAACAAUAUUACUUGAAUUUAAAUAUUUGAUUUAUUUUCUUUAUUUAUUUAUCAUAUUCUGUUUCUUCAUUCACUAGACAACAUAAAUUGAAGUGAAACAAUACAAUACAUGUAGUGAAACUAAUUAGUU